rnacentral:rRNA from 1 species
UACAGAGGAUGCAAGCGUUGUCCGGAAUCAUUGGGCGUAAAGCGCGCGUAGGUGGCCAUUUAAGUCCGCUGUGAAAGUCAAAGGCUCAACCUUUGAAAGCCGGUGGAUACUGGAUGGCUAGAGUACGGAAGAGGCGAGUGGAAUUCCUGGUGUAGCGGUGGAAUGCGCAGAUAUCAGGAGGAACACCAAUAGCGAAGGCAGCUCGCUGGGACGUACUGACACUGAGGCGCGAAAGCGUGGGGAGCGAACAGG